AUACGAACUGUGCAAACGUUAUUCGGAAUCACUGGGCUUAAAGGGUGCGUAGGCGGCCGGACUAGUAGGAUGUGAAAUCUCUCGGCUCAACCGAGAAACUGCGUUCUAAACUGUCCGGCUUGAGUGAGAUAGGGGUGUGCGGAACUUCCAGUGGAGCGGUGAAAUGUGUUGAUAUUGGAAGGAACACCGGCAGCGAAAGCGGCACACUGGGUCUCAACUGACGCUCAGGCACGAAAGCUAGGGUAGCGAACGGGAUUAGAUACCCCAGUAGUCC
rnacentral:rRNA from 1 species